rnacentral:lncRNA from 1 species
GAAAGCAUUUUGUGUUUGGGCCUUUGCACAUGCCACUCCCUCUGCUUGAAAUGUCCUUCCCUUUCUUCUUCUGCCUCACUCCUCCUGAUCCUCAGGAUCCACUGAAGCUUCACUUCCUUCAAGAAGCCAGCCCAGACUUCUCAGUCUGGGUUUCGUGUUUCCACAGCACCUUCAUUUACUUAUCACAGUACUUACAAUAAUGAGUCCCAAUUGUUUGUUUACUUGUCCUCAUAAGUCCUCAAGCUCUUUGAAGGCAAGUCCAUGGGUUACUCCCCUUUAUAAUCCUAGAAUCCAUCCCUAUGAUGAUCUGAGAUUAGGCCCUCAGCAAAUAUUUGACAACUGAGUAGCUAAUGGCUGUAGGCGUAAAAAAUAGUCUUGGAACCAUGGAGCCUUUUAAACUCAUUAGUGCCAUUCAUCAUGUAGUUCUGACUUUCCUCCUGCUAAGCACACAGUAGGACUGCACUCCCUGGCUCCCUUGUAGUUGGGUGGGGACCAUGUGAAUAUUCUGGUCAAUGAAUUAUAAGCAGAAUUACCGAGUGUCACUUUUAAGCUGACACAUUUAAUGCCAGAACUCUCUUUCCCUUUGCUUUGAAAACCUGCUAUGAUCCAGAUGGUGGCUUCUCUAUCAAUCAGAAUUCUCAAGUGCCAACAACACUGAGCAGAGACUCCUGCUGACCUGUGAUUAACAUUUAGGGUAAGUGAGAAUAAGCCUUUAUCACAACAAGUUUCUGAUUUCUUUUUAGCCAGCAUAGCCAGUCAAAACUAACACACCCAUGUGGCCCAUAGGGCUCCAAGGACUUAAUCUAGACUAUAUUCUAUCCUCCUACCCUCAUUCUGGUCCUGUCCACUGCCCAUGCUGACCCCAGUCUAACCAACUCCCUCUCACUCAGAUAAAGAAGGAAGGAAAGAAGGAAGGAAGAAAGGAAGGGAGGGAGGAAGACUAGACCACCCUCAGACAGCAAAGGGAGAGCUGGACAGUGUUCCUCUCAUUCAGUUAUUUAGGGCUCCUUAAAACUCCAAGGGCAUUUGCCCUCUAAAUCUGACUCUUGGCUCAUUCCCAACUCAUAUUUACCCUGAGAUAACUUUUAUAGGUAGGUAUACAUGCCCGGAGGGGGCAAGAGCUCACAAUUCACACAAUAUCACACCCAUGCCACCUACCAGCUUGCCUUCCACAGCCAGAGUCCAUACCACUGACAACUCACAAAAUGGUCCUCUGCUAGUCCUCACCCCUCAUCUGCCAAGGGCUGUCUGUUCUUUAAGAUACUGAGUCAGCAUGUUUUCCAAGAUAUGAAGCCCGUCAAUCAUGCACAUCAGGAGUCAAGGUUGGGCACCAACCAGGCCAGGUUGCAUCUCGUUCUAGCCUCUGAGUCCUGGGGGCUCAU